GGAAUGGGAGGGAGGGAGGAACGCCUUUAUUUUCUUUCGCUUGGAAGAGCUCCCCACUCUUGCUGUUCUUUGCAUGUCCCUGGGCCUGGGGGAAGGAUGGCUCCCACAGACUAUGAGAGACAAAUGAUAAUGUGGAAACAUCUUCCUCCAUCACCUCCUCAAUCCUUCGGCUUUGGGUGUUGAGCACUGGAGUCUGAACAGGAACAGACACCUGUGAUCUGCUCACACUGAGCCCUGUCUGGUGCCUGGUUGUAGGAUGACCUUAUCUCCUGGAUGCUCUUCUUUUUGGUCCUUGGGAAAAGUCCCUGGCCAACUUCUCUGUUGACACCUGGGAGACUCAGUCAUCCUGGAAUGAUCACUAUCUUUGAAUCAAGCCCUGACUUUUCAGCGUUUAAACUAUGUCAAAGACUUGCUAAAUGCCCUCUCAGUUAGGACUUGUUUAAAAAGGGUGUGGUUAUAACCCUAAGCACAUUGAUUUUGAGAACCCUAAAAAGAAGAACCCCUCAGGGAAAGAGCCCUCUUUGAUUUCUCCCAGAACACCUCAUUUCAUCUUCUCAUCUAUUCACUUGGUUGCAAGGUGGCUUCCCUUUUGCCUGACUUCAUUGCAAGAAAUGGAAAUACUUGCUCAGUAAAUAAGUUCUUUGGAAAAUCCAGGAUCUCAAACACUGCUCUCCAGGAAUCACACACAUCAGAAAGACACUGGUCUCUACUUCUGCAGUCCUGGAGAUUCUGUGUUUUGAUUCCUGUGUGUGCAUUACAAACACUAGAAUACCUGACUUUUCAUUCCCUUUCAGUAUCGGAAAAUGAGCUGAGUUUUCAGACUACUACCCUCCAGCGAGUCAAUUUUAGAGACACUGUCCAUAUCCAGUGUCAUCGUUUCCUGAGUCAAUAAAGAAGCCAACACGUGAGUUCCUUCAAGAAAAAUAAAGAGAAUUUCCAGACUCCAAAUUUCAUGUGGCAGCUGUGAGUUGGGGCUGGUAGGAUCUCUCCUCAGCUCUGGUCACACAGCAGAAUAUGCAACUUUGAGGUCCCUGUGGGAGGUAGUCAGCCACACUGUCUGGGGGACAUCCAGGAAAAUCCUCAGGGAGGAUUCUGUCUACUCAGCUGCCUCCUUCAGCAGCUCCCCCUGAAGAAACCCCGAAGUCUUAGGAAUCAGUUGAGAACAAAGGUAUUAAUUGUCGCUGAUAAAGUGAAAAACCAGCCAUCUGCCACCCAGUAGGGAAGCCACUUAAGACAACUUUAGGACAGUUUCCCACUUCUACACUGGACAUGUCUGCACAUGCAGAAGCUGUAGCACUCGCCCCUGAAACGUUGUUCCAAUUUGUGCUUCUACAAGUCUGGCCUGAGAGGGCCUGGCUCCCAAACUCUGCCAAAACUGGCUUUUCUUUUUUUCAGCCAAUUUCUUAGAAGAAAAAUAAUGUCUUGUUUCACUUUUCAAUCCUUUGUUGCUACCCAGCCUGAACAUUUUUCCACGGGUACUGGCCAUUUAGAUCUCCCUUCCUGUCUAUUGGGUUUCCAUACCUUCAGUGCUACGUCUUAAUUAAAUCUAGGAUGAAGAGGAAAGAAUGGAGAAAAUUAACAAUUAUUGAGUGCUGGUUACUUGCCAGUGUAGACUAUUGAAUUCCCAGGGACUCACUUAUCCUUACAACAGGUCUGUUAUUUCGCCAUUUUAUAGAUGAUGAUGCUACAGCUUCUGCAUGUGAAGAAAAGCCUAGUGUGGAAGUGGGAAAUUGUCUUAAAAAGGGUUAGUGUAAAACAGACAGUAUAUGGUCAUCAAUGCCACAAGCCAUGGCUUUCUGAGAGACGACUCCACUAUUUGAAGUAAUCCUCCUGUGAAUAAAAACACUGUUUCUCUAUGAUAAUAAGCCUAUUAUAGGAAAUCAUCUCCUAUUGCUAAUUUUUCAGUCAAGGUGGAAUAAUUGGGGUAAUUGGUGCUGGUAGGCCACUCUGUAAGGAAUUUCUCAGAAACCCUCAUGAGAUGUUCUCCAGGAGGCUGCACCAGAGGGAAUGAGGCCUUGUAUUUCUGCCAUCCUGCUGUAUCCACUGUGGUGGAGUUUAGUCCAGGUACGAUGACAAACUGGAAAUGUGGGAAUGCAAGCGCAGGACCAAACCUCUCCCCUUGUCCUGAUCCCAUGCGCUUUUCUAUUGCUCUUGCUCUGUCUGUGCUAGGGGACUUUUCCUGAAAGAAACGCAGCACAGGAAACACUGUCCUUGGCUCUGAAUCUUUUGUCUGCAGUUCCUGUUAUACACGGACAUGUCCAGAAAAUGGCUCACUAGCCAUUCUGUUUUCUUGCCCUGCUCUUCCUCCAUCCCACCCACUUGGAAGUCAGGUCUAUGGAGAGGGGGCGCCCUCACAAGUACAAAGUAACCAAGGGGAGAAUUUUAUUUUCAUCUGAGCUUGGGAUUCCCUUUGCAAGGUUGGGAAUAGAAAUGUCCAUUUAUCAUUCAGAAGUGAAUAAUGCUGCUCAGAAAAGAGACAAAAGAAUUUAAAUAGUGUUGUUUAUCUUUGGUUUCUCAGCUCUGAGCUGCUGAUUACUUUUGUUGGGUGCCUGAGAGAUGCUGAGCAUUCAGUACAAAGCAAGACAAUUUAAGUUCUCAGAGAAUCCUCUUUCUUAAUUGUAUUGGAAGAUAGUUUGUCAGUUUCAUCAGUCUCCUCCCUCUCUCUCAUUUUUAAAGAAACUAAUCACUGGUCUCUCCAAAAAAAUUACCAAGAGAUGAAAAAAUAUACAGUCUCGGGUUUACUUCAAAACAACACAGUGUGGGUGAUGGUUGGGGUAUGGAUGAAUCCUGAUGGGGCGUGAUUGAUGCUGUGCUGAGUGAAGGUCAGGGUUUACUGCACAUUCUCUCUACUUUUGUGUGUGUUGAAAAUUUCCUCAGUACAGAGUUUAAAAAACAAGUAUGAAGGUAACCCAGAUCCGGUGGGGGCAUCGCGGAUUCUGAAGAAUCAAGAGAUCCUGGUUACAAUUUCAAACCAAACCUCCAAUGAAGAUAGAUAUUUUGAAGUGAAAAUGCUUCUAAACUCCUCCUCUUCCUCUUCUCAAUCCAGCUGUUUAAUCUGUACACAGAACACAUCAUGUGAAAAACUGGGCUGGACUCAGAUGAAGGGGGAGUGAAAAUUGGUGGGAGAAAUAUCAACAAUCUCAGUUAUGCAGAUGACACCUUCGUACUGGAAGAAAGCAGCAAUGACAUGAAACGACUUUUGAUGAAAGUGAAAAAAGAAAGUGCCAAAGCAGGACUGCAUUUGAACAUCAAGAAGACAAAAAUCAUGACUACAGAAGAACUACACAACUUUCAUGUAGACAAUGAAGACAUUGAAAUUAUGAAAUAUUUUGUUUACCUUGGUGCAGUCACCAAUUUAAGUGCAGACUGCAGCCAAGAAAUCAAGAGAAGACUGAGACUUGGAAGGGCAUCAACAAAAGAAUUAGGAAAGAUCAAGUGGAAGGAAGUGUCAUUAGGGACCAAAGCCAAGAUAGUCCACAGCCUUGUACUAUGUACGGAUGCUAAAGCUGGACAGUGAAGGAGGUUGACAGGAAAAGAAUUGAUUCUCUUGAAAUGUAGUGUUGGAGAAGAGCUCCACGGAGGCCAUGGACUGCCAGAAAGAUGAGCAAAUGGUUCCUAGAGCAAAUUAAGCCUGAACUAUCACUUGAGGCAAAAAUGACCAAACUGAGGUUGUCCUACUUUGGAGACAUCAUGAAAAAGCAGAAAUCUUUGGAGAACACAAUAAUGUUGAGAAAAGUAGAAGGUAGCAGGAAAAGAGGAAGAUCAAAUGUGAAAUGGAUUGACUCCAUAAAGGAUGGCAUAGGCAUGAGUCUAGAGAAGCUGAAAAGAGUUGUUGAGGACACGACAUUGUGGACAUCACACAUUAAUAGGGUCACCAGGAGUCAGAGCUGACUUGUUGAAACAAAACAACAAAAUGAGAGUCUUUACUCCAUAUAUAUUUCCUAAUGUAGUAAGAGUGAAGUCUACCAUAUUUCUAUUUGUCUCGUCUCUUCUUUGUUCCUCGAUUCUUAUUUCUUACUUUCUUUGGGAUUAAUCAAGUAUUUAAACUUUCAGAAAACUUAAUCUCCUCUAUUAGCUUGAAAGUUAUACUUCUUAUAUCAUUCUUCACCCAUAGCCAUCAAAUACAUUUUCUUUCCACCAAAAUAAGCCAGAUCCUGCUCUUGGUGCUUAUAAAUCAAAUAACUCAACUUAUUUAUUCAUUUGUACACAGUUAUUCUGAGGGUUGUAAACUGAGGCUUAGAGAGAGGCCCUCUGACAAUCUUGUCAAAAAAAUUAAGAAACAUAAGUGAGUACUGGAAAGAUAUGCUUGUUUAAUUUAAAACUGGAACAGUUUUUAGGGAGUACAAUGGGACUAUUAGGAAGGCAAAGAAACGUUAAAAUAAAAGAUAAUGUAAAAACAUAAGUGUAACUACAUGAAAUGGAAGGUAAAUAAACAAGGGAAACUUGAAAUAUGUAAAACAAAAUGUGGAAUAAGAAAAGCAGGUUAGCUCAGUGGCAUGACUUUCUAGGAGAAUUCAAGGGAAUUCUCUUUGACUAAUUUCCAUAGGCAGUGAACUCUCUCCUGUGCUAGCAGGACUUAGUGAAAUGUUCCUAAUUAUUACUAUGAUCCUCAUCACUAGCUAUGCUUUGAAAAACAUCACAGUAAGUGAACUCUGAAAAGACUGUAAGGGCCAUCCAUUCCAAAGGUGAAUCCCAUUUAUAAUAUCCUUUUUAGGUUUCUCCUUGUGCUUGAACAUCCUGAUUGAUGGAGACCUCACCACCACCUAAAACUCUCAUUCUGACUUUGGAGAUUUUCCAUAGGGCACUCUUUGUCAUGCUGAUCUAUUUCCAUUACCUUCCACCUAAUUUUAACUCAUGGGGGAUAAAGAACAGAUCUAAUAACUCCUUAUCCAUCUGUGCUCAUACUAGAAAACUGACAGAAUGCCUUCUCUUUCCCAAAAUAUGUCUUUAUAUUGUGGUUUUGAGUCCUUGUUAGCAUCCUAAUUGCUCUCAUCUUACUAUACUCCAGAUUUUUAAAUAGGUAAAACUAAUCUAUAUUGCCUGACAUCAGAUAAGUGGUUACCUGUGGGGAAAAGGAAGAGAUCAAUGACUGAUGGGGGUGUUCUGUGGUGCUGGUGAUACUCUUUCUUGACCUGUGUGGCUGUACCAGGGAUAUGUUAAUUUGGUGAAAAUUCAUUAAACUAUUCAUUGAUGGUC